rnacentral:lncRNA from 1 species
UGCAAAAAUAGAAAUAUUUCGAGGAAAUAAAAAGGAGCAAGUGCUCGACAACCUCGCAGAAAAAAAUAGACAAGUGUCCGGCAGUAGAAUUAGGGGUACCUCGGUAUCCACUUAAAAAAAAUGAUGAUAGCCCAUGGUCCCUCUAAUAAGCAAUAUGCCAGCAAGAGUUGACAAAGAUUUUAAUUUCCAAAGUCUUUGAUCUAAGAGUAUGACAUUCCCCUCCUCGGAUCCCGUUUUGAUCAGGCAAUAAAUGCAAAGUAAGUAUGCUUGAGAAUUUUUUUUAAAAUAAAACAGCCU